UCUCUAUCUCAAUGGUUCAUGCCCCCGUAAGCAAGGAAAACGGGGUUUGUGUUUAAGUUUCCGCGUAACAGAGUUAUGUUUUCUUGUAUAUUCAAAUUGAAAUCCGACGCUAUCAUGUC
rnacentral:lncRNA from 1 species